rnacentral:rRNA from 1 species
GCCUUGGCAGUCAGAGGCGAUGAAGGACGUGGCAGCCUGCGAAAAGUGUCGGGGAGCUGGCAACAAGCUUUGAUCCGGCAAUGUCCGAAUGGGGAAACCCACCGCUUAGGCGGUAUCGUGCAGUGAAUACAUAGCUGUACGAGGCGAACCCGGGGAACUGAAAUAUCUAAGUACCCGGAGGAAAAGAAAUCAACCGAGAU